AAAAGUCUCUGAUCAGACUCGUGUAGAAAGAAACCAUCUUCACCACAAGAAAUAAGUUUUAAAGCUUUACUUCUGGUGAAGAGGGUUUCUUUCUACACGAGUCUGAUCAGAUACUUUU